GAUGAACGCUGGCGGCGUGCCUAAUACAUGCAAGUCGAGCGAACGGACGAGAAGCUUGCUUCUCUGAUGUUAGCGGCGGACGGGUGAGUAACACGUGGAUAACCUACCUAUAAGACUGGGAUAACUUCGGGAAACCGUAGCUAAUACCGGAUAAUAUUGUGAACCGCAUGGUUCAAAAGUGAAAGACGGUCUUGCUGUCACUUAUAGAUGGAUCCGCGCUGCAUUAGCUAGUUGGUAAGGUAACGGCUUACCAAGGCAACGAUGCAUAGCCGACCUGAGAGGGUGAUCGGCCACACUGGAACUGAGACACGGUCCAGACUCCUACGGGAGGCAGCAGUAGGGAAUCUUCCGCAAUGGGCGAAAGCCUGACGGAGCAACGCCGCGUGAGUGAUGAAGGUCUUCGGAUCGUAAAACUCUGUUAUUAGGGAAGAACAUAUGUGUAAGUAACUGUGCACAUCUUGACGGUACCUAAUCAGAAAGCCACGGCUAACUACGUG
rnacentral:rRNA from 1 species